rnacentral:rRNA from 1 species
UACGUAGGGUGCAAGCGUUGUUCGGAAUUACUGGGCGUAAAGGGCGCGUAGGCGGCCCGCUAAGUCGAACGUGAAAUCCCCGAGCUCAACUCGGGAACUGCGUCCGAUACUGGCGGGCUUGAAUCCGGGAGAGGGAUGCGGAAUUCCAGGUGUAGCGGUGAAAUGCGUAGAUAUCUGGAGGAACACCGGUGGCGAAGGCGGCAUCCUGGACCGGCAUUGACGCUGAGGCGCGAAAGCUAGGGGAGCAAACGGG